rnacentral:rRNA from 1 species
GAUGAACGCUGGCGGCGUGCCUAAUACAUGCAAGUCGAGCGAACGUACGAGAAGCUUGCUUCUCUGAUGUUAGCGGCGGACGUGUGAGUAACACGUGGAUAACCUACCUAUAAGACUGGGAUAACUUCGGGAAACCGGAGCUAAUACCGGAUAAUAUUUUGAACCGCAUGGUUCAAAAGUGAAAGACUGUCUUGCUGUCACUUAUAGAUGGAUCCGCGCUGCAUUAGCUAGUUGGUAAGGUAACGGCUUACCAAGGCAACGAUGCAUAGCCGACCUGAGAGGGUGAACGGCCACACUGGAACUGAGACACGGUCCAGACUCCUACGGGAGGCAGCAGUAGGGAAUCUUACGCAAUGGGCGAAAGCCUGACGGAGCAAAGCCGAGUGAGUGAUGAAGGUCUUCGGAUCGGAAAACUAUGUUAUUAGGGAAGAACAUAUGUGUAAGUAACUGUGCACAUCUUGACGGUACCUAAUCAGAAAGCCACGGCUAACUACGUG